rnacentral:rRNA from 1 species
AAGACCUCGCGCUAUUGGAGCGGCCGAUGUCCGAUUAGCUAGUUGGUGAGGUAAUGGCCCACCAAGGCAACGAUCGGUAGCUGGUCUGAGAGGAUGAUCAGCCACACUGGGACUGAGACACGGCCCAGACUCCUACGGGAGGCAGCAGUGGGGAAUUUUGGACAAUGGGCGCAAGCCUGAUCCAGCCAUGCCGCGUGAGUGAAGAAGGCCUUCGGGUUGUAAAGCUCUUUCGGCCGGAACGAAAUCGUCCGGGCUAAUACCCCGGAUGGAUGACGGUACCGGAAGAAGAAGCACCGGCUAACUACGUGCCAGCAGCCGCGGUAAUACGUAGGGUGCAGGCGUUAAUCGGAAUUACUGGGCGUAAAGCGUGCGCAGGCGGCUUCCUAGGUCAGAUGUGAAAUCCCCGGGCUUAACCUGGGAACU